AUAUCAGUAAGCGGAGGAAAAGAAACUAACAAGGAUUGCCUCAGUACCGGCGAGGGAACAGGCAUGAGCUCAAAGUGAAAAUCUGCGGCGGGAACGCCUCAGAAUUGUAAUCUAGAGAAUUUUGCAGAAGGUGAAGUGCUCGCAUAAGUCUCUGGAAGGGGACGGCAUAGAGGGUGACACUCCCGUGUUUGGCGAAGCACCUGCCGUAUGCUUAAUUUCGAGGAGUCGGGUUGUUUGGGACUGCAGCCCUAAUUGGGAGAUAAACUUCUUCUAAAGCUAAAUAUCGAUGGGAGACCGAUAGCGCACAAGUA
rnacentral:rRNA from 1 species